AGCAGCCGCGGUAAUUCCAGCUCCAAUAGCGUAUAUUAAAGUUGUUGCAGUUAAAAAGCUCGUAGUUGAAUUUCGAGAUCAGUACGCUGGUCGUGCCUUCGGUAUGCACUGGUGUCACUGGUUUCUCCCUUCUGAAGAACCGUCAUGUCAUUAAGUUGGUGUGGCGGGGAAUCAGGACUGUUACUUUGAAAAAAUUAGAGUGUUUAAAGCAGGCUCGCGCUUGAAUACAUUAGCAUGGAAUAAUGAAAUAGGACGUUUGACCCUAUUUUGUUGGUUUCUAGGAUCGACGUAAUGAUUAAUAGGGAUAGUUGGGGGCAUUAGUAUUCAAUUGUCAGAGGUGAAACUCUUGGAUUUAUUGAAGACUAACUACUGCGAAAGCAUUUGCCAAGGAUGUUUUCAUUAAUCAAGAACGAAAGUUAGGGGAUCGAAGACGAUCAGAUACCGUCGUAGUCUUAACCAUAAACUAUGCCGACUAGGGAUCGGACGAUGUUAAUUUUAUAAUGACUCG
rnacentral:rRNA from 1 species